CCCUGGGUGGCUCACUUGGUUAAGCGUCUGACUUUAGUUCAGAUCAUGGUCUCACUGUUCGUGAGUUCAAGCCUCACAUCAGGCU
rnacentral:tRNA from 1 species